CUGGGAAUGGUGGAGAACAGGAGAAAAGAGGAUGGGGGUGGGAGGGUGAGGCGGGCCUCCAACACUGGACAGAAUAAUAGAAAACAGAGACAGAGAGACAGGAAGGCAGAAGACAAACCAAUAAACAAUGAAGCGCAGAAAAAAAUCGAUAGAAGGAUGGACAGGCAGGCAGACGGGUCAGCACGGUCCCUGGAACUGCCAAGACAUGGUCAGCGGCCCUUGACAGUUUUUGCCUCCUUGAGGAGAAUGUGGCCUCAAGGGGUCAGCUUUGUGGCCCUGCCCCAGCUGGGGCCCAUCCUGGUCGGACUCCUUGCCCCGCAUAAGUUGUCUGGUUGGUGUGACAGCCUGAGGAAGCUGCCCUGGUGCCCAUCCUACAAAGCCUUGUUGCUUGUGUGGACAGCCAUCUACUCUGUCAUGGGCUAUGCCUCCUACCUGGUGUGGAAGGACAUGGGAGGGGGCUUCGGACGGCCCCUGGCCCUUCCUCUCGGCCUCUACGCUGUGCAGCUCGCUAUCAGCUGGACUGCCCUGAUUCUCUUUUUUGCAGCCCAUACCCCUGGUCUGGAUAGAGAUGCCCAGCGGCAAGGUGAGGAGAGCAAACUGAUGGGGAUACCUCCAGUGGACAAAGGCUGGUGGGGCCGAGAGUGGGGCAGAAUGCAGGAAGGGUUUUCUCUGUGCAUCUCUGUUCCCGCCUCCCUGCAGGCCGGUUGAGUGAUGCUGUGGUGGAAGGUUACUUUCUUCAAAGACACCGCGAAGGGAGCUGGGCAGUUCUGGGAGCUGCCACCAGAAUGGAAUCAAGGUUUCCUGGAGCCAGCCCUGCUUCCUCGUCUCCACCCCUCUGACUAUGCUGGGACAGAAAGCAAUAGCUCAGCCUGCGUCACAGGUGCAAAUACUGAGGCCCAGAGAUGCUAGCUGAUGGGACCAAAACCACACAGUGAAUCAAGGGCUGAGAUGGAGAUAUAAACAUGGAAUUUUCUUCUUUUCUCCCAGUCCAGAGUUACACAUCACAGCCAAGGGAAGAAGUCUUUCCCACGGGAACAGCAAACUGAAAGGACCCCUCUCCACCACCCAGACAUUUUACUCUUCCUCUCUUGAACUGAGCACAUCACUGUAGCUGUGACAUUGAUAAUGGUACACAGAUAAUUCAUCAGAGCUAGCUGGGUGCAGCUCUGGAAAUAAGAACUCAGGCUCAGAAGACCUGGACUUACCUCCUUGUGGAAUCUUGCACAAGUCCCGUCCUUAACUUGCAAAACGAGGCCCAUAAUACGCACCGGUGUGAGACAGGUGUGAGAACUAAAUGACAUAAUGCACGUGGACUGCUUGAUGGUGCUGCAAAUGUCAUGAAGACUGGGAGCUCCUGGUGAGGCAGUGUCUUCCUCAUCUCCGUAUUCUUGG